rnacentral:ncRNA from 2 species
CCGUUCUUGCCGGGGUGCUGCCGUAUUGCAGCUGAGAAAAACCCGUUGAACCUGAACCAGUUCGUACUGGCGUAGGGAGCAAAGCCCUCUUUGUG